AGAGUUUGAUCAUGGCUCAGGACGAACGCUGGCGACGUGCCUAACACAUGCAAGUCGAACGGAAGUGGGGGCAACUCCACUUCAGUGGCGAACGGGUGCGUAACACGUGAGCAACCUGCCCUUCGGUGGGGGAUAGCCGGCCUAACGGCCGGGUAAUACCGCAUGUCGCUCCGAGGUCGCAUGGCCUUGGAGUGAAAGCGGCCGCAAGGUCGCGCCGGGGGAGGGGCUCGCGGCGUAUCAGCUAGUUGGCGGGGUAACGGCCCACCAAGGCUACGACGCGUAGCUGAUCUGAGAGGAUGAUCAGCCACAUUGGGACUGAGAUACGGCCCAGACUCCUACGGGAGGCAGCAGUGGGGAAUAUUGCGCAAUGGCCGCAAGGCUGACGCAGCGACGCCGCGUGUGGGAUGACGGCCUUCGGGUUGUAAACCACUGUUAGGAGGGACGAAUACUCGGCUUGACCGAGGGUGACGGUACCUCCAGAGGAAGCACCGGCUAACUCCGUGCCAGCAGCCGCGGUAAUACGGAGGGUGCGAGCGUUGUCCGGAAUCACUGGGCGUAAAGGGCGCGUAGGUGGCUGUGUAAGUCAGAUGUGAAAUCCCGGGGCUCAACUCCGGGGCUGCAUCUGAGACUGCGCGGCUCGAGCACGGUAGGGGCGAGUGGAAUUCCCGGUGUAGCGGUGGAAUGCGUAGAUAUCGGGAAGAACACCAGUAGCGAAGGCGGCUCGCUGGGCCGUNNCUGAGCUGAGGCGCGAAAGCGUGGGGAGCAAACAGGAUUAGAUACCCUAGUAGUCC
rnacentral:rRNA from 1 species